AAAGUUCCCUUCGGGGAGCGAGUAGAGUGGCGCACGGGUGAGUAACACGUAGGUAAUCUACCUUCGGAUGGGGAAUAACAACCGGAAACGGUUGCUAAUACCGCAUAAUGCAGCGGCACCUAAUGGUGACAGUUGUUAAAGCGGGGAUCGCAAGACCUCGCGUCUGAAGAGGAGCCUGCGGCAGAUUAGCUAGUUGGUAAGGUAAUGGCUUACCAAGGCGUUGAUCUGUAGCCGGCCUGAGAGGGCGGUCGGCCACACUGACACUGACAUACGGGUCAGACUCCUACGGGAGGCAGCAGUCGGGAAUUUUGGGCAAUGGGCGAAAGCCUGACCCAGCAACGCCGCGUGAAGGAUGAAAUCCUUCGGGAUGUAAACUUCGCAAGAACGGGAAGAAUAAGUAAGGGUUAAUAUCCCUUACGAUGACGGUACUGUUUGUAAGCUCCGGCUAACUCCGUGCCAGCAGCCGCGGUAAUACGGGGGGAGCAAGCGUUGUUCGGAUUUACUGGGCGUAAAGGGCGCGUAGGCGGCCACCGCAAGUCAGUUGUGAAAUCUCUGGGCUUAACCCAGAAAGGUCAACUGAUACUGCGGGGCUAGAGUGCAGAAGGGGCAACUGGAAUUCUCGGUGUAGCGGUGAAAUGCGUAGAUAUCGAGAGGAACACCUGCGGCGAAGGCGGGUUGCUGGGCUGACACUGACGCUGAUGCGCGAAAGCUAGGGGAGCGAACGGGAUUAGAUACCCCGGUAGUCCUAGCCUUAAACGAUGAAUGCUAGGUGUCUGGGGUUUUAUAGUCCCCGGGUGCCGUCGCUAACGCUUUAAGCA
rnacentral:rRNA from 1 species